rnacentral:rRNA from 1 species
GUUCCUUGGAAAAGGACAGCUGAGAGGGUGAAACUCCCGUCCGCCUGGUAGAAUGAGUCUUUGUCAACGAGUCGAGUUGUUUGGGAUUGCAGCUCUAAUUUGGUGGUAAAUUCCAUCUAAAGCUAAAUAUUGGUGGGAGACCGAUAGCGUACAAGUACCGUGAGGGAAAGAUGCAAAGAACUUUGAAAAGAGAGUUAAAGAGUACCUGAAAUUGCUGAAACGGAAGCGAAGGAAACCAGUGUUUGUUGGUUCAUAUUUCCCUGGCCACUUGUGGCUUGGGCGCUGUGAGCUUGCGUGGGUUUGGGUUGGUUGAUCCCUUUGGAAGAGCGCAGUCAGAGUUGAUGUCU